rnacentral:misc_RNA from 1 species
CAGCCGUCUGAACCACGGUUUACCUCAACUUCCAUUUCCAGGUAGUUACGAUAGUCCAGCAGCUCUUCACCGAUGGUUUGCGGCGUACGCUGGCCC